rnacentral:rRNA from 1 species
UACGAGGGGUCCAAGCGUUAAUCGGAAUUACUGGGCGUAAAGCGUACGCAAGGCGGUUUGUUAAGCGAGAUGUGAAAGCCCCCGGGCUCAACCUGGGAACUGCAUUUCGAACUGGCAGACUAGAGUCUUGUAGAGGGGGUAGAAUUUCAGGUGUAGCGGUGAAAUGCGUAGAGAUCUGAAGGAAUACCGGUGGCGAAGGCGGCCCCCUGGACAAAGGCUGACGCUGAUGUACGAAAGCGUGGGGAGCAAACAGGGAUUAGAUAACCCGCGUAGU